rnacentral:rRNA from 1 species
CAUCGCCGCGGUAAUACGUAGGUCCCGAGCGUUGUCCGGAUUUAUUGGGCGUAAAGCGAGCGCAGGCGGUUUGAUAAGUCUGAAGUUAAAGGCUGUGGCUCAACCAUAGUUCGCUUUGGAAACUGUCAAACUUGAGUGCAGAAGGGGAGAGUGGAAUUCCAUGUGUAGCGGUGAAAUGCGUAGAUAUAUGGAGGAACACCGGUGGCGAAAGCGGCUCUCUGGUCUGUAACUGACGCUGAGGCUCGAAAGCGUGGGGAGCGAACAGGAUUAGAUACCCCGGUAGUCCCUGUCUCUUAUACAC